rnacentral:lncRNA from 13 species
ACACCACAGACAUUCAAAUCAGAGAGGGAACACUGCUGCACCCAGACAGCAGCUACAGCUGACAGUAGCUGCCCCUUUGGAGCACAGCACCCCUCUUUCCAGGCCAGGAGUUACCACCAGCUCUAUUGGCUGCUCCAGCUCCCAUCUGCUCACUCAUGGCUGUGCGGUUUGGCAUGUCCAGUGCGUUUUGGAUGUCCUGUUCUGGCCAGCCCAAUACUCCUCUCCUUUUUGGUAAAUAUGGAUUGGUUUCCACGCCCUAACUGAGUCUGUACUCCCUUCUCUAGCCUCCGAGCUUGUUUUUUACCUCCUCCCUACACACACGUGCACAUGCAUGUAUGCAUGCGUUGACAUGGACGCACACACACACACACACAACGCACAGCUGACUCACCCCAGCCCCCAGACCAGAGUGGAGCUCAGCACAUUCUCCGAGACACAGAGAAACCCUGGCAGGAUAUACAAGCAAGUUCUGGCAUCAGGAGCAUUCUGUUUUUCAAAGAUGCAGGGUCAUGAACCGAGUUGCCACACUCAGUUGAAGAGACUCUGUCUGACAGCUGAUGUUUGUGAUUUACUGGACCUCCUGUCUCUGGGUAGAGAGAGCAACAGACAGGCCUCGUAACUCAGGUGUUCCCAUUCCACACCCUGUCACUGGCUGCAGAUGCCAAGGCCUGUAAAUCCAAUGGAGUCUUUAAGGCAGCGUGCGGGGAGAGCAGAUGGAGAGACACACUGCUGUACAUACUUUAUGAAUAUCCUAAAUUACGCAAGGUUCAAGGAUUCACAGCAUGACUGCUUUUACUGCAAAAAAACUCAAACUGAGGUGCAACAUGCAAUGAGUGAAGGGUGAGGAAUAGGGUCUUAUCAAUCAAGUUCAUAAUUACAUUUGUUGUUGAUUAUGAAUGAAUGAAUAAAUACAAUGGUGUAUAGAUGGACUCAUCGAUUGAAUCAAAUGAUUCCCAGCAUUCCAUUUCUAUUGCAGAACUAUUUUCUCAGAGUGGUCCAGACUAAUAAUGUGUUUCUUCUCCCCUGUGUUCCACUGUAGUGCCUGUUACAUAAUGAGCACAUCUAAUUAGUAGCAGACUGUUUUGUUCUGACCAGGGUCUAUAUAUACAGUGGGGAGAACAAGUAUUUGAUACACUACUGAUUUUGCAGGUUUUCCUACUUACGAAGCAUGUAGAGGUCUGUAAUUUCUAUCAUAGGUACACUUCAACUGUGAGAGAGGGAAUCUAAAACAAAAAUCCAGAAAAUCACAUUGUAUGAUUUUUAAGUAAUUAAUUUGCAUUUUAUUGCAUGACAUAAUUAUUUGAUACAUCAGA